rnacentral:misc_RNA from 1 species
AAGGAUCAUUAUCGUGGGGCUUCGGCCCCAUUGAGAUAGCACCCUUUGUUUAUGAGUACCCUUGUUUCCUCGGCGGGCUUGCCCGCCAUGAGGACAUUAAAAACCCUUUGUAGUAGCAGUAACUUCAGUUAAUAACAAAUAUUAAAACUUUCAACAACGGAUCUCUUGGUUCUG